UACGGAUAUGUUGAAUCAUAGGAUAGAUACUACUUCCGUUUUUAUAUAUAAGAGUGUUCCAUUUUUUUUUUUUAAUUUCAUUCCAGUUUUGCAGCCGAGAGAUCGUUCCUUUCGCAUUUCUUUGAAGCCAUUCGUAUUCUUCCCUAUUCCUUGUAUCAUAUCAGUCAUCACCAGGAAUCAUUAUUUUAUAUUGGCUUACAGUUUCUUUACUACCAGAUCGUUCUGUUCACUCUGCUUUCCUUGCAAUUCGUAUUCAUACCCCUUAAAUCCAGUUGACAGAUGGCGGUUCAGAUUUGGUAGCGCAAAGGGAGCAAGAGAGACAGUGAUAUAUUUAUUCUUCUUCUUCGCGUGGCGGAAUCCUAGCAAGCAACAAAGCGAGCGAGCCCUCUGGGGCAUCGGAUCGGAGUACUAAUACUUUUGAGAGGUUAUAUAAAGUAAGUUACUUCCUUUGCCCUGUUAAGGAAUUAUUGACGGAUUUUAUACCAAGAUUGUAAUAGUUAAUUACACUUAUCUUGGUCCUUCACCCUAAUUUUAAUUUUUAUAAUCCUUUAUAUUAAAUUUUAACAGUAUUAAUCCCUCUUCUUAAUUUUCCCAUGUUAUAAUUUUUUAUUGAUGAAGGGUAGUUUUGAAAAAUUAUUGAAAAGGGAGACAUAUUUAAUGAGAAUAAUUAAUUUUAACCAGUUUAAUUAUAUUUUCUUAAUUUGUAAUCUCAGUCUGUUAAUGCCUGCUCUCUAAUUAAAAAAAAACCUUAAUUUGUGUAAAACUUGGUAAACGUUUCUUAUAAUUUUAAAGAAUAAUGGAAACAUGAAGACAUGCAUGAUAUAUUUCAGAAACUCUAAGCUAUAUUAUAGCAGUAGUGUGUUAUAUCGGUAAACAUUCGGAUCUCUCUUGUUUUUCUCUAAUAAAAUACGAAUUGAGCCAUUUAAACGGGCAUUUUUUUUUUUUAUAACUAGAUUAGACAUAUGUUUCAUGUAAAGUUUGUUGGAAAAUCAUAGAGCUGAAUAAACAAUUUAGAUGAUAAAACUAAGCACAUGACUGGGCAAAGCCCCAUCGUCUCUUCUCUACAAUAAACCUGGGCUAUCCCAAGUUUAUAUAGCCUCAAAACAGAAUCAAGAAAGCUAGACAAAAUCUGAACGAGUACGAUAGGAACCAAAAACAUCCAGGCCCAAAACAAAAGCCCAUAAACAUUAACAUGGACUAUUUAUCUGGACUGGACUAUUUUUCAACAAAGUUCGAGUUUGAUACUAUUUAUAACUUAUGAGUAAAUCUUUACUUAAUUUCUAUGUUUUAUUUAUUUUACAAUGCCAGUGUUAUUAUAUAUGACACUAAGCCUUCUGGAAAAUGCUGAACCUCGACAGUACAAUCGACUCCUAUGGAGAAUAUUGUUUACUUUUCAUUCUGGGACCACCCACCCCACGACAUUUAAUUUUGCAACUCACUUCUGCUUCUCCAGCUGGCUGCUUCUAAUAUAAAUCAUUAAAUUCUGUCCACCUUGUCGGCUAUGGAAGAAAAUAAUACUACGAAAACCGAAGUUUCAUGAACGAGAAAGCGUGUUCUAAUAUUUUUUCCCACUUGGUAAAAAUAAUUAAUAUUUUAAAAAUAAAAAAAGGUUUUAGGCAAGUUGUUUGGUCGAGAAUCUCAUGAAAAAUUUAUUAUUUAUUUCAAAAUAGCAACAUAGAAAAGUAAAAAUGAAAAAAUAAAAAUUGGUCAAAGCAUUGGUGUCCGAAGAUGGAAUCUGAGUGAAGUCAGUCAAGUAGGCAUAUCGUAGAGGUGCUUCUGCGAAGUUACAUGCAUGGGCAAGUCAAUCGGAUCUAUAUUGAAGUCAAUGGGAUUUAAUUUGCAUGAUUUGCUUGGAAACAUUCAUAAAUUUGGACGAGAUCGAUGAAGCUAGUAGCUAUAUAGCUACGUAUAGCAUAAGCAUAUCCACCCAGAGGAGAGAUCAAUGGAUGUGUCUUCGUAUGUGUCCCAAUUUCUGAUGCUGCUGCUGCUGCUUCUUCUUCUGGCCUCCAAUCUUUGCUUUCACUCCCACAAUGAUACUGCAGGGAUGACCAUGAGAAAACUGGCAGGCGCCCUGCCGAGGGCCCCACCUCCACCGAAACGAUCUCCUGUUUGGACUCCUCGCCGACGUCCACGUGUCCCUUCAGUGGCCCCGCCGCCGCCGCCCAUAUAGAACCUUCAAUUUCCAGACCAGAACGCAUGUGUACGUACGUGUAAAUAUGGGUUAUUUAAUUUCUUCAAGAGAUUAUAUUAUGGCAUGAAAUAAUAAUGCCCUAGGGCAGCGAAUGUAAGGUGAUUAAAUUAAUGGAUAGCCUUACUGUUGAACAGUGUCUGUGCCUCACUGAUGCAACAUGGUAUCACAGUCGAAGGUUUUAUCCUUUUGUUGUUGCAUA